rnacentral:lncRNA from 1 species
GGCCGGGCAGGGGUCGGGUGGGCCUGGUGGCACGGCAGGGGCAGGUGGGGCGCGCAGCGGCGUAGGCGGGUCCGGCGGCGGCUGCCAAGGAGCGUGGGGGUGUGAGCUGAGGGAGUGGGAGAGAUUGCGGGCGCGAUGUGGAUAAGUCCCCCCGAGGGGGGUUUGCCGUGUGCUGGAUCAAGGGCACAUGACAAACAUCGACUCUUUGCCAUGUGCCACAAUCUGGCUCACGACGAACAUUUUUUACUUAUUUUUUUUUGUUUUCAUUUAUUUUUUAUUUUUUAAAAACUCUACCAUGUGUCCCACUGCUGACACACGGCAAACUGUGUGUUUGCCGUGUGUUGCUGCAAGUGGCACACGACAAACAAUUAACAACAUUUUAUAUUUCAAUCCUAUACUUUUUUUUCUUUACAACUAUACUUACUUAAUAAAUCCAAGUUUUUAUGUAAUUUCUUUGUCAAAUGAACUUCACAAUGUAUAUUACAUGUUUACAAACAUAUUAUACCAUUAGUUCAUGUGUUUAAUUCUUUAAUUCGAAUUUUCUCUUUUCAAAAUCAAUAAAUGCUAAAAAUAAUUAAAAAAUAGCAAACGAUUUCGAAAAGUUCUCAAAUUUGGACACGACACAACCUAUGUGGUGUAGUGCCAAUAGAAAAAGUUUUGAAAUCAAACUCAAAUAUGAAAGUCGAAUCUACUCCAACUCAUGCAACUUCACUCAUAAGUCUCUUAAACUUCAUCGGAGAUUAUCUGGUUUCUACACAUCAUACGUGACAACUUGUUUGAAAUCUUUCCAAACUUUUUCUAUGGCCUCUAUGUAUGAUAACAUGACAUAUGUACAAGUUUCAUUAUUUACGGAAUAAAAUAGCAUUUAUUAGAAUUUUUGAAAAGUACCUACGCACGUUCGGCGUCGUGUCUCCUAACCAUGACAUUCGAAAGUCAUUUUCGUUUCGAACGUGCAUUCUCAGACAGGGUCGGGUAAC